rnacentral:rRNA from 1 species
GUGAGGAAUAUUGGACAAUGGGCGCAAGCCUGAUCCAGCCAUUCCGCGUGCAGGAUGAAGGCCUUCGGGUUGUAAACUGCUUUUGUACGGAACGAAAAGCCUCUGGUUAAUACCCGGGGGUCAUGACGGUACCGUAAGAAUAAGCACCGGCUAACUACGUGCCAGCAGCCGCGGUAAUACGUAGGGUGCGAGCGUUAAUCGGAAUUACUGGGCGUAAAGCGUGCGCAGGCGGUUUUGUAAGACAGGCGUGAAAUCCCCGGGCUCAACCUGGGAAUUGCGCUUGUGACUGCAAGGCUGGAGUGCGGCAGAGGGGGAUGGAAUUCCGCGUGUAGCAGUGAAAUGCGUAGAUAUGCGGAGGAACACCGAUGGCGAAGGCAAUCCCCUGGGCCUGCACUGACGCUCAUGCACGAAAGCGUGGGGAGCAAACAGGAUUAGAAACCCUUGUAGUCC